AUCUGAUCUAAUCGAGAAAUAUUAUAGUUUUAAUUGAUAACUAAUUUUGGAUUGUAUGGCGAUUAUUUCAAUCUGAUAACAUCGUCCUGUGUUAGUAUUGAUUUUAUGACGGAAUUAUCCUGAAUUAAUGAUGUGAUAAAGUACAUUAUAAGUUAAGGAAGUGGUACUCCAAAUAACGGAGAAGCAAAGUACAGUAUACAUAUUAAC
rnacentral:lncRNA from 1 species